CUCUGCUAGGCAGAAUCCUUUGGUUUUGUCAGCUUGGGGAAGCUCUUUGGAGCGUUUUGAAAGGCAGGAGUUUUCCCAGGCUGAUGUCACUAGAAGAUUCCUGUAGAU
ensembl:miRNA gga-mir-6575 gga-mir-6575